GUACACGAAAGCACACAGGUUGUGAACUCGAAGAGUAGGGCGGGACACGUGGUAUCCUGUCUGAAUAUGGGGGGACCAUCCUCCAAGGCUAAAUACUCCUGACUGACCGAUAGUGAACCAGUACCGUGAGGGAAAGGCGAAAAGAACCCCGGCGAGGGGAGUGAAAAAGAACCUGAAACCGUGUACGUACAAGCAGUGGGAGCACCUUCGUGGUGUGACUGCGUACCUUUUGUAUAAUGGGUCAGCGACUUAUAUUCUGUAGCAAGGUUAACCGUAUAGGGGAGCCGAAGGGAAACCGAGUCUUAACUGGGCGUUAAGUUGCAGGGUAUAGACCCGAAACCCGGUGAUCUAGCCAUGGGCAGGUUGAAGGUUGGGUAACACUAACUGGAGGACCGAACCGACUAAUGUUGAAAAAUUAGCGGAUGACUUGUGGCUGGGGGUGAAAGGCCAAUCAAACCGGGAGAUAGCUGGUUCUCCCCGAAAGCUAUUUAGGUAGCGCCUCGUGAAUUCAUCUUCGGGGGUAGAGCACUGUUUCGGCUAGGGGGCCAUCCCGGCUUACCAACCCGAUGCAAACUACGAAUACCGAAGAAUGUUAUCACGGGAGACACACGGCGGGUGCUAACGUCCGUCGUGAAGAGGGAAACAACCCAGACCGCCAGCUAAGGUCCCAAAGUCAUGGUUAAGUGGGAAACGAUGUGGGAAGGCACAGACAGCCAGGAUGUUGGCUUAGAAGCAGCCAUCAUUUAAAGAAAGCGUAAUAGCUCACUGGUCGAGUCGGCCUGCGCGGAAGAUGUAACGGGGCUAAACCAUGCACCGAAGCUGCGGCAGCGACGCUUAUGCGUUGUUGGGUAGGGGAGCGUUCUGUAAGCCGUUGAAGGUGUCCUGUGAGGGUGCUGGAGGUAUCAGAAGUGCGAAUGCUGACAUAAGUAACGAUAAAGCGGGUGAAAAGCCCGCUCGCCGGAAGACCAAGGGUUCCUGUCCAACGUUAAUCGGGGCAGGGUGAGUCGACCCCUAAGGCGAGGCCGAAAGGCGUAGUCGAUGGGAAACAGGUUAAUAUUCCUGUACUUGGUGUUACUGCGAAGGGGGGACGGAGAAGGCUAUGUUAGCCGGGCGACGGUUGUCCCGGUUUAAGCAUGUAGGCGGAACGAUUAGGUAAAUCCGGUCGUUUAUUAACGCUGAGGUGUGAUGACGAGGCACUACGGUGCUGAAGUAACAAAUGCCCUGCUUCCAGGAAAAGCCUCUAAGCAUCAGGUAACACGAAAUCGUACCCCAAACCGACACAGGUGGUCAGGUAGAGAAUACCAAGGCGCUUGAGAGAACUCGGGUGAAGGAACUAGGCAAAAUGGUGCCGUAACUUCGGGAGAAGGCACGCUGAUAUGUAGGUGAAGCCCCUGCGGGUGGAGCUGAAAUCAGUCGAAGAUACCAGCUGGCUGCAACUGUUUAUUAAAAACACAGCACUGUGCAAACACGAAAGUGGACGUAUACGGUGUGACGCCUGCCCGGUGCCGGAAGGUUAAUUGAUGGGGUUAGCGGCAACGCGAAGCUCUUGAUCGAAGCCCCGGUAAACGGCGGCCGUAACUAUAACGGUCCUAAGGUAGCGAAAUUCCUUGUCGGGUAAGUUCCGACCUGCACGAAUGGCGUAAUGAUGGCCAGGCUGUCUCCACCCGAGACUCAGUGAAAUUGAACUCGCUGUGAAGAUGCAGUGUACCCGCGGCAAGACGGAAAGACCCCGUGAACCUUUACUAUAGCUUGACACUGAACACUGGUCCUUGAUGUGUAGGAUAGGUGGGAGGCUUUGAAGCGUGGACGCCAGUCUGCGUGGAGCCGACCUUGAAAUACCACCCUUUAAUGGCUGGUGUUCUAACGUAGACCCGUAAUCCGGGUUGCGGACAGUGUCUGGUGGGUAGUUUGACUGGGGCGGUCUCCUCCCAAAGAGUAACGGAGGAGCACGAAGGUUAGCUAAUCCUGGUCGGACAUCAGGAGGUUAGUGCAAUGGCAUAAGCUAGCUUGACUGCGAGAGUGACGGCUCGAGCAGGUGCGAAAGCAGGUCAUAGUGAUCCGGUGGUUCUGAAUGGAAGGGCCAUCGCUCAACGGAUAAAAGGUACUCCGGGGAUAACAGGCUGAUACCGCCCAAGAGUUCAUAUCGACGGCGGUGUUUGGCACCUCGAUGUCGGCUCAUCACAUCCUGGGGCUGAAGUAGGUCCCAAGGGUAUGGCUGUUCGCCAUUUAAAGUGGUACGCGAGCUGGGUUUAGAACGUCGUGAGACAGUUCGGUCCCUAUCUGCCGUGGGCGCUGGAGAAUUGAGGGGGGCUGCUCCUAGUACGAGAGGACCGGAGUGGACGCAUCACUGGUGUUCGGGUUGUCAUGCCAAUGGCACUGCCCGGUAGCUAAAUGCGGAAAAGAUAAGUGCUGAAAGCAUCUAAGCACGAAACUUGCCCCGAGAUGAGUUCUCCCUGACCCUUUAAGGGUCCUGAAGGAACGUUGAAGACUACGACGUUGAUAGGUCGGGUGUGUAAGCGCAGCGAUGCGUUGAGCUAACCGAUACUAAUGAACCGUGAGGCUUAACCUUACAACGCCGAAGCUGUU
rnacentral:rRNA from 1 species